rnacentral:rRNA from 1 species
CUACGGGAUGCAGCAGUGAGGAAUUUUGCGCAAUGGGGGCAACCCUGACGCAGCAACGCCGCGUGAGUGAAGAAGGCCCUUGGGUCGUAAAGCUCUGUCAAUGGGGAAGAAGUUACUUGGUAUUAAUAGUGCCUUGUAUUGACGGUACCCAUGAAGGAAGCACCGGCUAACUCCGUGCCAGCAGCCGCGGUAAUACGGGGGGUGCAAGCGUUAUUCGGAAUUAUUGGGCGUAAAGGGCACGCGGGCGGUCCUGUCAGUCAGAUGUGAAAGCCCAGGGCUCAACCCUGGACGUGCAUUUGAAACAGCAGGACUUGAGUACGGGAGAGGAAAGGGGAAUUCCUGGUGUAGAGGUGAAAUUCGUAGAUAUCAGGAGGAACACCGGUGGCGAAGGCGCCUUUCUGGACCGAUACUGACGCUGAGGUGCGAAGGCGUGGGUAGCGAACGGGAUUAGAUACCCGUGUAGUC